AAUUUAGUCCUUUCUCUUUUUUAACUCUCUCUCUCUUCAAUUUUUAUUGGACACAAAAUGUAGUAUGUACUGAAACAUUUAAACAUUUCAUUUUUCUCUUUCUCUUUAUCCUAUGUUUCUUACCAAAUCCUUUCUUCAAUAUCCAAUAUUGAUUCAUUUCUUUAUUUCAAUCUAUCGCUUUUCCUCCUUCCCUCUCUCUUUCUAUUCCUUAAUUCUCUGUUGAGCAUAAUAUCCAAUGUUGACUCACCUCUAAUAUCCAAUGUUGACUCACCUCUCUUUCUCUUUCUCUCUCUCUCUCUCUCUCUCUCUCUCUCUCUCUCUCUCUCUCUCUCUCUCUCUCUCUCUCUCAAAAAUGUAAUUUACAAUUUUAAUAAAAUACAUACCAAAAAUU
rnacentral:sRNA from 1 species